AUUGAACGCUGGCGGCAGGCUUAACACAUGCAAGUCGAGCGGAGCGAGGGUGCUUGCACCUUAGCUUAGCGGCGGACGGGUGAGUAAUGCUUAGGAAUCUGCCUAUUAGUGGGGGACAACAUUCCGAAAGGAAUGCUAAUACCGCAUACGCCCUACGGGGGAAAGCAGGGGAUCUUCGGACCUUGCGCUAAUAGAUGAGCCUAAGUCGGAUUAGCUAGUGGGUGGGGUAAAGGCCUACCAAGGCGACGAUCUGUAGCGGGUCUGAGAGGAUGAUCCGCCACACUGGGACUGGGACACGGCCCAGACUCCUACGGGAGGCAGCAGUGGGGAAUAUUGGACAAUGGGCGGAAGCCUGAUCCAGCCAUGCCGCGGGUGUGAAGAAGGCCUUUUGGUUGUAAAGCACUUUAAGCGAGGAGGAGGCGCUUAAGGUUAAUACCCUUGAUGAGUGGACGUUACUCGCAGAAUAAGCACCGGCUAACUCUGUGCCAGCCGCCGCGGUAAAAC
rnacentral:rRNA from 1 species